rnacentral:rRNA from 1 species
GACAGAGGGUGCAAACGUUGUUCGGAUUUACUGGGCGUAAAGCGCGUGUAGGCGGCUUUGCAAGUCGGAUGUGAAAUCCCACGGCUCAACCGUGGAAGUGCAUCCGAAACUGCAUCGCUCGAGUCUCGGAGAGGAAGGUGGAAUGCUUGGUGUAGAGGUGAAAUUCGUAGAUAUCAGGAGGAACACCGAUGGCGAAGGCAGGUCUCUGGGCCACUACUGACGCUGAGAAGCGAAAGCAUGGGGAGCGAACAGG